rnacentral:ncRNA from 1 species
UUGAAAUCGAUGAACAGGAUUAGUAGAUAGAAACUGCUUUCUAGAGAGCUUAUGGCUGGUGGAAAUAAGCAAGCAAGGCUAUUGAACUCACCUGGGAGAGGUAUCUGUGAAAGCAGAUAACGUUACACCGCGUUAAGGUGAUAAGUGCAUGAAUGUCUUCAUGAACUCAGGUGGUACCGCGAUGAAUCGUCCUGAGA